rnacentral:rRNA from 1 species
AGAGAGAGACAUGCGCGCAUAUCAAUAAGCGGAGGAAAAGAAACUAACUAGGAUUCCCUCAGUAACGGCGAGUGAAGCGGGAAGAGCUCAAAUUUGAAAUCUUCAAGGUUCUACCUUGACGAAUUGUAGUUUAAAGAAGUGUUUUCUGUUGGAGUUUUGGUAAAAGUUCUUUGGAAUAGGACAUCAUAGAGGGUGAGAAUCCCGUAUUUGACCAUUAUUUCCAGCUUUGUGAUACACUUUCAAAGAGUCGGAUUGUUUGGGAAUGCAGUCCAAAAUGGGUGGUAAAUUUCAUCUAAAGCUAAAUAUUGGCGAGAGACCGAUAGCGAACAAGUACCGUGAGGGAAAGAUGAAAAGAACUUUGAAAAGAGAGUUAAACAGUACGUGAAAUUGUCAAAAGGGAAGCGUUUGACACCAGUGUUGUUUUCUCGAAAAUCAAUUAAAAAAGGCAGGAUUUUGUGUUGUAUUGACUUUAUCAGCUUUCUGCACUCUUUUCUUGUCUUUUUUAAUGCACUUUUCGUUUAACAAGUCAACAUCAAUUUCUUUUGUUGUAAAAGGGUCAUUGGAAGGUGGCUUUCUUUUCGGAGAAAGUGUUUAUAGCCUUUGGCCUCUGCAAUCGGAGAGAUUGAGGUCUGCAGCGUAGGAUCCUUCGGGGUUAGAUACAUUUGUGCUAAGUUAUAGCCUUUCAUAGACAACUUGUUGACUAUGAUCAGUCAUGUAGCUUACUCGCUUAUGCUAUUUUACCUACGCUUAGGAUGUUGAUGUGAUACUGCGAGC